rnacentral:lncRNA from 1 species
CCUCCCUGGCGCCUGGAGCCGCGUCCAGCCCGCGGUCCCUUCGCCGGACCUGAGUGGCUUGCGGUCCUCCCCCACCCCCUGCUUGGGUCCCUGCGCCCCUAGUCCUAGCUCCCCUCUUUUGUAUCCCCCUUUAAUCCCCAUCCCCCCAUUCUAUCCAACUUCAGCCCCCGCGCUGCGCCCCCCUUUCCUGGUCCGGCUCGAUUGGCCGCUUCCUGAGCUGUCAGACUUGAGUUCGGCGCUCUUAUUGGGCGAUUCUCUGGCCGGGCGGCUGUGCCAAAGGAGGGCGCAGCGGGCUGGGGGCGCCUAGGCAGCGACUGCAGCAGGGAGACGAAGACCAGAGUCCCUGGAGGGCUGGAGGGGCCCGAGAGCCAGACCCGGAAAUGGACAGGGGAGAUGGAGAGACUGAGGAUCUCAGAGGCGCAGGAAGACAGUGACGGAAAAGAUGGAGAUGCAGUGGCUCUCUCUGCAGAGCUUCUGACAGAGGCUAGCAGUUGGGGUGAGCUUCCCUUUCUUUUUCUGUUGGUCAUCUCUUUGCAACUUGUAAGAUAAACCUCACCAAGGUUACAAAAUGGGAGAAACAUGCCAAGAGGUCUGAAUAAACUAGCCCUAGAGUAGCCCA